rnacentral:ribozyme from 13 species
GAAGAAGAAGAAAAAAAGGGAGAAGAAGAAGAAGAAUUUAAAUUAAAAGUCCAAUGUUUUGAUAAAUCUUCAUCUUUGCAUUCAAAUUCAAUUUUUGUGAUACAAAAUCCUUCUUUUGUUAUGUCUUUUAUCUUUAAUGGUAUUUUU